UACGUAGGGGGCUAGCGUUGUCCGGAUUUAUUGGGCGUAAAGAGCGUGUAGGCGGCCAGGUAGGUCUGGUGUGAAAACUCGAGGCUUAACCUCGAGAUGGCAUCGGAAACCAUCUGGCUAGAGUCCGGAAGAGGAGAGUGGAAUUCCUGGUGUAGCGGUGAAAUGCGCAGAUAUCAGGAAGAACACCAAUGGCGAAAGCAGCUCUCUGGGACGGUACUGACGCUGAGACGCGAAAGCGUGGGGAGCGAACAGG
rnacentral:rRNA from 1 species